UAGGGAAUCUUCGGCAAUGGGGGCAACCCUGACCGAGCAACGCCGCGUGAGUGAAGAAGGUUUUCGGAUCGUAAAGCUCUGUUGUAAGAGAAGAACGUGUGUGAGAGUGGAAAGUUCACACAGUGACGGUAACUUACCAGAAAGGGACGGCUAACUACGUGCCAGCAGCCGCGGUAAUACGUAGGUCCCGAGCGUUGUCCGGAUUUAUUGGGCGUAAAGCGAGCGCAGGCGGUUUAAUAAGUCUGAAGUUAAAGGCAGUGGCUUAACCAUUGUUCGCUUUGGAAACUGUUAAACUUGAGUGCAGAAGGGGAGAGUGGAAUUCCAUGUGUAGCGGUGAAAUGCGUAGAUAUAUGGAGGAACACCGGUGGUGAAAGCGGCUCUCUGGUCUGUAACUGACGCUGAGGCUCGAAAGCGUGGGGAGCAAACAGG
rnacentral:rRNA from 1 species